ensembl:snoRNA SNORD79 Small nucleolar RNA SNORD79
AACUAUAAGUGAUGUCAAUGUUUGAUAAACAUUGGGAAUCUCUCUGAUUAACAAUGACGGAUAACUUUAUUGCUGAUGCAGUG